UACAGAGGGGGCAAGCGUUGUUCGGAAUUACUGGGCGUAAAGCGUACGCAGGCGGCUUUGCAAGACAGGUGUGAAAUCCCCGGGCCUAACCUGGGAACUGCAUUUGUGACUGCAUGGCUAGAGUUUGUCGAGAGGGGGGUGGAAUUCCACGGUGUAGCAGUGAAAUGCGUAGAUAUGUGGAGGAACACCGAUGGCGAAGGCAGCCCCCUGGGAUGUGACUGACGCUCAUGUACGAAAGCGUGGGGAGCAAACAGG
rnacentral:rRNA from 1 species